rnacentral:rRNA from 1 species
GACGAACGCUGGCGGCGUGCUUAACACAUGCAAGUCGAACGCUGAAGCUCAGCUUUUGUUGGGUGGAUGAGUGGCGAACGGGUGAGUAACACGUGAGUAACCUGCCCCCUUCUUUGGGAUAACGCCCGGAAACGGGUGCUAAUACUGGAUAUUCACUGGUCUUCGCAUGGGGGUUGGUGGAAAGGGUUUUUCUGGUGGGGGAUGGGCUCGCGGCCUAUCAGCUUGUUGGUGGGGUGAUGGCCUACCAAGGCUUUGACGGGUAGCCGGCCUGAGAGGGUGACCGGUCACAUUGGGACUGAGAUACGGCCGAGACUCCUACGGGGGGCAGCAGUGGGGAAUAUUGCACAAUGGGCGCAAGCCUGAUGCAGCGACGCCGCGUGAGGGAUGGAGGCCUUCGGGUUGUGAACCUCUUUCGCUUAUGGUCAAGCCGCAACAAUGGUUGUGGUGAGGGUAGUGGGUAAAGAAGCGCCGGCUAACUACGUG